rnacentral:rRNA from 1 species
GACGAACGCUGGCGGCGUGCCUAAUACAUGCAAGUUGAGCGCUGAAGGUUGGUACUUGUUCCGACUGGAUGAGCAGCGAACGGGUGAGUAACGCGUGGGGAAUCUGCCUUUGAGCGGGGGACAACAUUUGGAAACGAAUGCUAAUACCGCAUAAAAACUUUAAACACAAGUUUUAAGUUUGAAAGAUGCAAUUGCAUCACUCCAAGAUGAUCCCGCGUUGUAUUAGCUAGUUGGUGAGGUAAAGGCUCACCAAGGCGAGGAUACAUAGCCGACCUGAGAGGGUGAUCGGCCACAUUGGGACUGAGACACGGCCCAGACUCCUACGGGAGGCAGCAGUAGGGAAUCUUCGGCAAUGGACGAAAGUCUGACCGAGCAACGCCGCGUGAGUGAAGAAGGUUUUCGGAUCGUAAAACUCUGUUGGUAGAGAAGAACGUUGGUGAGAGUGGAAAGCUCAUCAAGUGACGGUAACUACCCAGAAAGGGACGGCUAACUACGUG